GACGAACGCUGGCGGCGUGCUUAACACAUGCAAGUCGAACGAUGAAGCCGGAGCUUGCUCUGGUGAAUUAGUGGCGAACGGGUGAGUAACACGUGAGUAACCUGCCCUUGACUCUGGGAUAACUGCGGGAAACUGUAGCUAAUACCGGAUACGACCCUCGGAGGCAUCUCCUGGGGGUGGAAAGACUUUCUGUCAAGGAUGGACUCGCGGCCUAUCAGCUAGUUGGUGAGGUAAAGGCUCACCAAGGCGACGACGGGAAGCCGGACUGAGAGGGUGACCGGCGCCACUGGGACUGAGACCCGGCCCAGACUCCUACGGGAGGCAGCAGUGGGGAAUAUUGCACAAUGGGCGCAAGCCUGAUGCAGCAACGCCGCGUGAGGGAUGACGGCCUUCGGGUUGUAAACCUCUUUUAGCAGGGAAGAAGCGAAAGUGACGGUACCUGCAGAAAAAGCACCGGCUAACUACGUGCCAGCCGCCGCCGUAA
rnacentral:rRNA from 1 species